rnacentral:rRNA from 1 species
AUUGAACGCUAGCUACAGGCUUAACACAUGCAAGUCGAGGGACCGGCGCACAAGUGCGUAACACGUAUCCAACCUGCCCUUUACUCGGGGAUAGCCUUUCGCAAGAAAGAUUAAUACCCGAUAUAAAGGAUGGGGAUGCGUUCCAUUAGGUUGUGGGUGAGGUAACGGACCACCAAGCAUUCGAUGGAUAGGGGUUAUGAGAGGAAGGUCCCCCACGAUGGAACUGCGACACAGUCCAAACGCGGACGGGAGGCAGCAGUGAGUAAGAUUGGUCAAUGGGCGUUAGCCUGAACCAGCCAAGUGUCGUGAAGAAUGAAGACUUAUGGAUCGUAAACUUCUUUGAUAGAAGAAUAUGUAUUAUAUGAAUAAGGAUCGGCUAACUCCGUGCCAGCAGCCGCGGUAAUAC